rnacentral:rRNA from 1 species
UACUAGGCCGGGUGUGUAAGCGCAGCGAUGCGUUGAGCUAACCGGUACUAAUGAACCGUGAGGCUUAACCUUACAACGCCGAAG